rnacentral:rRNA from 1 species
UACGUAGGUGACCAGCGUUGUCCGGAUUUACUGGGCGUAAAGGGCGCGUAGGCGGUCGUGACAAGUCACUUGUGAAAUCUCCGGGCUUAACCCGGAAAGGUCAAGUGAUACUGUCGGACUAGAGUACAGAAGGGGCAACUGGAAUUCUUGGUGUAGCAGUGAAAUGCGUGGAGAUCAAGAGGAACACCUGCGGCGAAGGCGGGUAGCUGGGCCGACACUGACGCUGAGGCGCGAAAGCCAGGGGAGCGAACGGG